GGGCGCUUGGCGCAGCUGGUUAGCGCGUCUGACUUACAUUCAGGAGGUCGGGGGUUCGAAUCCCUCAGCGCCCA
rnacentral:tRNA from 2 species